GUGGAAAAAUCUCUGGAGUCAAAGGCCUGGGCGCAGCUCUGGACUCUGCGUAUAACGGUGAGUGUCAGGACCAGAUUAAGGUAAACCAGAGAAGUGGGUGAAGGGACCCCAUUCCUGG
ensembl:miRNA